AUCCAGCUGAUGACUCUUAAAUAGGAUGAAAUGCGCGUCCUAGAU
rnacentral:hammerhead_ribozyme from 1 species